GACAGAGGGUGCAAACGUUGUUCGGAAUUACUGGGCGUAAAGCGUGUGUAGGCGGCUUUGCAAGUCGGAUGUGAAAGCCCCGGGCUCAACCCGGGAAGUGCACUCGAUACUGCAGAGCUUGAGUAUCGGAGAGGUUGGUGGAAUUCUCGGUGUAGAGGUGAAAUUCGUAGAUAUUCGCAGGAACAUCGGUGGCGAAGGCGGCUACCUGGCUUAGAACUGACGCUGAGGCGCGAAAGCGUGGGGAGCAAACAGG
rnacentral:rRNA from 1 species